rnacentral:rRNA from 1 species
GAUGAACGCUGGCGGCGUGCUUAAUACAUGCAAGUCGAACGAUGAGGCCCAGCUUGCGGGGCGCAUUAGUUACGAACGGGUGAGUAACAAGUGAGUAACUUGCCCUUCUCUCUGGGUUAAACAUGGUAGAGUGGGUCUAAUACUUGAUAUAAAUUAUCAUCACCUGGUGGGGGGUGGAGAGAUGGAUUGUUAUUGGAUGGAUUGGAGGCCUAUCAGCUUGGUGGUAGGGUGAUGGCUGACCAAGGCGAUGCCGGGUAGACGGCCUGAGAGGGUGACCGGCCACACUGGGACUGAGGGACGGACCAGACUCCUACGGGAGGCAGUAGUGGGGAAUAUUGCACAAUGGGCGCAAGCCUGAUGCAGCGACGCCGCGUGCGGGAUACCGGCCUUCGGGUUGUAAACCACUGUCAGUAGGGCAGAAGCGAGAGUGACGGUACCUGCACAAGAAGCGACGGCUAACUACGUG